GACGAACGCUGGAGGCGUGCUUAACACAUGCAAGUCGAACGAUGAAAUGGAGCUUGCUCCAUGGAUUAGUGGCGAACGGGUGAGUAACACGUGAAUAACCUGCCCUUAAUUUUGGAAUAACCCAGGGAAACCUGGGCUAAUACCGGAUAAGUAAACCUGUGGCAUCACAUGGUUUUGGAAAGUCUUUCGAUUAAGGAUGGAUUCGCGGCCUAUCAGCUUGUUGGUGAGGUAAUGGCUCACCAAGGCGACGACGGGUAGCCGGCCUGAGAGGGUGAACGGCCACACUGGGACUGAGACACGGCCCAGACUCCUACGGGAGGCAGCAGUGGGGAAUAUUGCGCAAUGGACGAAAGUCUGACGCAGCGACGCCUCGUGAGGGACGAAGGUCUUCGGAUUGUAAACCUCUUUCAGCAGGGACGAAGCGAAAGUGACGGUACCUGCAGAAGAAGCACCGGCUAACUAUGUGCCAGCCGCCGCGGUAA
rnacentral:rRNA from 1 species